UCUUGGAUAGCUCAGUAGGAAGAGCAAUCGGCUGUUAACCGAUUGGUCACAGGUUCGAGCCCUGUUCCAAGAG
rnacentral:tRNA from 1 species